rnacentral:rRNA from 1 species
GACGAACGCUGGCGGCGCGCUUAACACAUGCAAGUCGAACGGAAAGGCCUGCUUUCCCUUGUGGAUUGCGGGUACUCGAGUGGCGAACGGGUGAGUAACACGUGAGUGAUCCGCCCCCAACUUGGGUAUAAGCCUGGGAAACUGGGUCUAAUUCCCGAUAGGACUGCAGGGUGGUGCCUGUGGUGGAAAACGAUUUUCUAGUGGUUGGGGAUGAGCUCGCGGCCUAUCAGCUUGUUGGUGGGGUAAUGGCCUACCAAGGCGGCGACGGGUAGCCGGCCGGAGACGGUGGACGGGCACAUUGGGACUGAGAUACGGCCCCGACUCCGACGGGAGGCAGGAGUGGGGAAUAUUGGACGAUGGGCCGAAGCCUGAUGCAGCGACGCCGCGUGGGGGGUGACGGCCUUCGGGUUGUAAACUCCUUUCGACCGCGAGGAAGCCACCUGGUUGGAAGGGUGGUGACGGUAGUGGUAGAAGAAGCACCGGCUAACUACGUG